rnacentral:rRNA from 1 species
UUGCUGGGUGGAUUAGUGGCGAACGGGUGAGUAACACGUGAGUAACCUGCCCUUGACUCUGGGAUAAGCCCGGGAAACUGGGUCUAAUACCGGAUAGGAACGUCCACCGCAUGGUGGUUGUUGGAAAGAUUUAUCGGUCAUGGAUGGACUCGCGGCCUAUCAGCUUGUUGGUGAGGUAAUGGCUCACCAAGGCGACGACGGGUAGCCGGCCUGAGAGGGUGACCGGCCACACUGGGACUGAGACACGGCCCAGACUCCUACGGGAGGCAGCAGUGGGGAAUAUUGCACAAUGGGCGAAAGCCUGAUGCAGCGACGCCGCGUGAGGGAUGACGGCCUUCGGGUUGUAAACCUCUUUCAGUAGGGAAGAAGCGAAAGUGACGGUACCUGCAGAAGAAGCACCGGCUAACUACGUGCCAGCAGCCGCGGUAAUACGUAGGGUGCGAGCGUUAUCCGGAAUUAUUGGGCGUAAAGAGCUCGUAGGCGGUUUGUCGCGUCUGUCGUGAAAGUCCGGGGCUUAACCCCGGAUCUGCGGUGGGUACGGGCAGACUAGAGUGCAGUAGGGGAGACUGGAAUUCCUGGUGUAGCGGUGGAAUGCGCAGAUAUCAGGAGGAACACCGAUGGCGAAGGCAGGUCUCUGGGCUGUAACUGACGCUGAGGAGCGAAAGCAUGGGGAGCGAACAGGAUUAGAUACCCUGGUAGUCCAUGCCGUAAACGUUGGGCACUAGGUGUGGGGACCAUUCCACGGUUUCCGCGCCGCAGCUAACGCAUUAAGUGCCCCGCCCUGGGGAGUACGGCCGCAAGGCUAAAACUCAAAGGAAUUGACGGGGGCCCGCACAAGCGGCGGAGCAUGCGGAUUAAUUCGAUGCAACGCGAAGAACCUUACCAAGGCUUGACAUGUUCUCGAUCGCCGUAGAGAUACGGUUUCCCCUUUGGGGCGGGAUCACAGGUGGUGCAUGGUUGUCGUCAGCUCGUGUCGUGAGAUGUUGGGUUAAGUCCCGCAACGAGCGCAACCCUCGUUCCAUGUUGCCAGCACGUAGUGGUGGGGACUCAUGGGAGACUGCCGGGGUCAACUCGGAGGAAGGUGGGGACGACGUCAAAUCAUCAUGCCCCUUAUGUCUUGGGCUUCACGCAUGCUACAAUGGCCGGUACAAUGGGUUGCGAUACUGUGAGGUGGAGCUAAUCCCAAAAAGCCGGUCUCAGUUCGGAUUGGGGUCUGCAACUCGACCCCAUGAAGUCGGAGUCGCUAGUAAUCGCAGAUCAGCAACGCUGCGGUGAAUACGUUCCCGGGCCUUGUACACACCGCCCGUCAAGUCACGAAAGUCGGUAACACCCGAAGCCGGUGGCCUAACCCUU